UACGAGGGGGGCGAGCGUUGUUCGGAAUUAUUGGGCGUAAAGGGUGCGUAGGCGGUUUGGUAAGUCUGAUGUGAAAUCUAUGGGCUCAACUCAUAGUCUGCAUCGGAAACUGCCGGGCUUGAGUGUGGGAGAGGUGAGUGGAAUUCCUGGUGUAGCGGUGAAAUGCGCAGAUAUCAGGAAGAACACCAAUGGCGAAGGCAGCUCUCUGGGACGGUACUGACACUGAGACGCGAAAGCGUGGGGAGCGAACAGG
rnacentral:rRNA from 1 species